UUUGCUUUUUCCCAGUCACCAAUACAAUUUCAGGGUUGCUGAUGGUCUCCUGAAGUUACUGGCGACUAUUGAUGAGUCUCAUCUUGUCUCAUUAGGGAUCUCGGUAGCUGGGAAACUGGACUAUCGAUCCUGUGUUUGUGUUCAGUCAUUCUUGCCGGCUCUGAGCCGCUUUCGCGGGAUCUCUGCGCAGCUUUGCCCUCACCGGCGCACCCCUCAUCUCCGAGGAGCACCCUCCGAGGAGCACCCCGCAUGCCAGUGUUCAAGCGUCUCUGGCAGCAGGUGGUACUGUUUGACCGUCUUGCAGCCAUUGGCGUUCGCUAACGCUGCAGAGAGCAGGUAAGUUUUCCAAGCGCGCUCGGGCACAUGUCCAGGCUCGGUGGCCCGCGACCAAGCAGUGCUUCGUGGUCACCCACCUCCGCGACAGAGGUGAGGGCGAAGCACUUGCCUUAGCGGUGGG
rnacentral:lncRNA from 1 species